UACAGAGGAGCCAAGCGUUGUCCGGAUUGACUGGGCGUAAAGCGCACGCAGGCGGACGCGCGCGUGGGUGUGAAAUCUGGCCGCUUAACGGCCAGGCGCCAUCCCAUACGGCGGGUCUGGAGCCUUGCAGAGGUCGGUGGAAUUGCCGGUGUAGUGGUGAAAUGCGUAGAGAUCGGCAGGGAACACCCAGGGGAAACCAGUGGACUGGCAGGAGCUGACGCUCAGGUGCGAAAGCGUGGGGAGCGAACCGG
rnacentral:rRNA from 1 species